UGGGGAAUAUUGCACAAUGGGCGCAAGCCUGAUGCAGCCAUGCCGCGUGUAUGAAGAAGGCCUUCGGGUUGUAAAGUACUUUCAGUCGGGAGGAAGGUGGUAAGGUUAAUAACCUUAUCAAUUGACGUUACCGACAGAAGAAGCACCGGCUAACUCCGUGCCAGCAGCCGCGGUAAUACGGAGGGUGCAAGCGUUAAUCGGAAUUACUGGGCGUAAAGCGCACGCAGGCGGUUGAUUGAGUCAGAUGUGAAAUCCCCGGGCUUAACCCGGGAAUUGCAUCUGAUACUGGUCAGCUAGAGUCUUGUAGAGGGGGGUAGAAUUCCAUGUGUAGCGGUGAAAUGCGUAGAGAUGUGGAAGAAUACCGGUGGCGAAGGCGGCCCCCUGGACAAAGACUGACGCUCAGGUGCGAAAGCGUGGGGAGCAAACAGG
rnacentral:rRNA from 1 species